AUUGAACGCUGGCGGCAGGCUUAACACAUGCAAGUCGAGCGGGGUGAUGGUGCUUGCACUAUCACUUAGCGGCGGACGGGUGAGUAAUGCUUAGGAAUCUGCCUAUUAGUGGGGGACAACAUCUCGAAAGGGAUGCUAAUACCGCAUACGUCCUACGGGAGAAAGCAGGGGAUCACUUGUGACCUUGCGCUAAUAGAUGAGCCUAAGUCGGAUUAGCUAGUUGGUGGGGUAAAGGCCUACCAAGGCGACGAUCUGUAGCGGGUCUGAGAGGAUGAUCCGCCACACUGGGACUGGGACACGGCUCAGACUCCUACGGGAGGCAGCAGUGGGGAAUAUUGGACAAUGGGAGGAACCCUGAUCCAGCCAUGCCGCGUGUGUGAAGAAGGCCUUAUGGUUGUAAAGCACUUUAAGCGAGGAGGAGGCUCUUUUGGUUAAUACCCAAGAUGAGUGGACGUUACUCGCAGAAUAAGCACCGGCUAACUCUGUGCCAGCCGCCGCGGUAA
rnacentral:rRNA from 1 species